AAACAAUAAGUGUGAGACAUUUUUUGUCAAAGGAAUGAAAGAAUCAUACUUUAACAGAUGGAUACAUCGUAAUUUCUAUACAAUAGAUACUUGCAAAUAUAGAAUAAUUUAGAGUAAAAGAAUGAUAACGAACACCAAAAAUUAUAUGGUUCACUGAUUAUGAACGAAAUAUUAUCGCAUGCAACGAACAAUGAGCAGCAUUAUAGCAAGGCAUAUCUUAUAUUUACCUGC
rnacentral:lncRNA from 1 species